UGGCCAGUAGUUCAAUAGGUGAGAUCGUCCCACCUGUAAUGGGAAAAUGAGGGUUCGAAUCCUUCUUGGCUUG
rnacentral:tRNA from 1 species